rnacentral:tRNA from 1 species
GCCUGGGUGGCACAGCGGUUGAGCGUCUGCCUUUGGCUCAGGGUGUGAUCCUGGCGUUGUGGGAUCGAGCCCCACAUCAGGCU